rnacentral:misc_RNA from 1 species
CUCCAACUCAAAUAGAAUUGAUCCCUUUAGAGACACAAGCAACCAAGCACUCCGCUUUGCAGACAGCUGAAUUUUUACAAGGAUUAUAUAAAAGACAUCCUUACAUAACACCACAAUCGUAAGUAAUAAUCAUAUAUAUAGGCAGUCACCAGAAGCCAGAAGAAGGAACAGAACUGUUUGUGUCUGUUUUAAAACAACAUUAUUUUCUUCCUCCAUCUAUAACUUACCCUUUAUAAAGAAAUUUAAAAAAAAAAAAUAAAGUAUUCCAUUGAGCCUUAGCUUUGUCUUAUUCUAUGCAGUUUCCCAGUUUUUUUGACCAAUGUCUGUCCCUUUUCCUUGUUUAUUUUAUCUGCAACUCUUUAUCCUCUUUUUUUUAGCAAAAACAUCCGAAACACCAUUAAGGUGAGAGAGAUUAAAAGUGACGAACAAGCCGUGUGCUUUGCUCCAUGUCAAUAAGUCCAUUCCUGAGGCAGACUCAUCUCUUGGUUCUUUGCCGGCACCGUCCAGGAUCGGCUCUUUUUCUGGAAUUGCAGGCCAUACCUUACAUCACCCGUUAAGGCAUCAUGUUGAGCAGGGAAACUAGCUCCAUUGGAUCUUGAUUCAGAACCCAUUUUGUCAAAGUGAAGUUUUAGGGAUUGGACUACUCUUUCUGGUAUAAAAACAGUGGAACACCCUGGUUUCUUGCGUGACUCACAAGUAUUGCCGAUUCCUCUAGGCAAGAACACCCCUGUGCCAAAAGAACCGUUUCUUGAACCGGAUUCACCAAGGAAAACUGCUGUCAUCUCUGAACCGGUUCUCUGUUGCUGUUGCAGAUUAGCCCAUGAAACCCUUUGUCCAUUACCCGACCCAGUACAAGCUCUCCCUUUGCUUUGAUGAAAUUGCCUGGCUUCUUGUUUAUCAUGCUCAUUGUGAUUAAACCCAUUCGCUUGUUUUCCCCAAUACAGAGACUCCUGUUUUUGCUUCAUAAUCUGCUCUUGUCUGAGCUUAUAGAAUUGAAUAGCUCGUAUUUGGUAAUCAAUUAGAGCCUGUUUAGAAUGAAUCUCAAGAUUUUCGUUUCUGGGUUUCCUCGUGGCUAAAACUCUUUCACUAUUAUUAUACCCGAACUUUUCUUCUUUCAUCUUCAAGUUCUCAAACUUCCCUAACAUGGAGACCUCUUCUUGGCUGGACCUCAACCGAGACCAUUUUGUUGAUUGGAGCGAACCAGCCAAACUCCAUUCCUUAUUUUCACGUCUGUUACCAUCAUCUUGGAGCAUGGAGUGAGCCAUUUGGCGAGUCAACUGAGCAAUGUAAUCGUCGUCUUGUUCACUAUCUGACUCAGUUGAACCCAGUUCAGACUCAAUAGGUGAGCUCAGAACAGAACCAAAAUCAGAUGAACUAAAGCAAGAAGGGCAGGUUUGGUUAAGGUGUCUAUUGUUGUUGUCUGAGAGAAUAUUGGUGUUAUCAUCAGUGAAAAACUGGGACUGAGAAGGAAGCAAUAAUGAAUCUGUGUUGUGUUGGUCAACGGCCAUAAUAAAGGAAAUUGAGUUUGCUGCGCAAAGAGAAGUCCGAUUGGAACUUACUUAUUUGCUAUUAUGAUCUGCUUAAAGGGAGACAGAGAGGUGGUGGUGGUAAGAGAGAGAAAAGCACAGACUUGAAGAACACAACAUCCCGUGCUGCCAAGGUUUAUAAAAGAACAUAGUAAAGAAGGUGGGGGUGGGUCUCUUGCGUCUUGCUGGGGCAGUCAGUAGUGUAAC